GAGCAUGUCUAAAUAUAGAGUUAUACAUACAUGUGAGUUGUAUGCAUAUGAUAUAUUGUAUGUGCUAUGCUAUGUAAAUAACCUUGUUAUAAUUUAAUUAAUAUAUAUUUGUUAGAUCAUAAUCAUGUAGUUGAAUUUUUAAGGAUGUGCUUGUGACCAUUAAAACCCUCAUAAAAAAUUAUAUUAAGUCAUAGUGAUCAGAACC
rnacentral:lncRNA from 1 species